UCCGUAGGUGAACCUGCGGAAGGAUCAUUAACGAGUUUUGAAAGGGGUUGUUGCUGGCCUUCCGAGGCAUGUGCACGCCCUGCUCAUCCACUCUACACCUGUGCACUUACUGUAGGUUGGCGUGGGUUUCUAGCCUCCGGGUUGGAAGCAUUCUGCCGGCCUAUGUACACUACAAACUCUUAAAGUAUCAGAAUGUAAACGCGUCUAACGCAUCUUAAUACAACUUUCAGCRACGGAUCUCUUGGCUCUCGCAUCGAUGAAGAACGYAGCGAAAUGCGAUAAGUAAUGUGAAUUGCAGAAUUCAGUGAAUCAUCGAAUCUUUGAACGCACCUUGCGCUCCUUGGUAUUCCGAGGAGCAUGCCUGUUUGAGUGUCAUGAAAUUCUCAACCCAUAAAUCCUUGUGAUCUAUGGGCUUGGAUUUGGAGGCUUGCUGGCCCUAGCGGUCGGCUCCUCUUGAAUGCAUUAGCUUGAUUCCGUGCGGAUCGGCUCUCAGUGUGAUAAUUGUCUACGCUGUGACCGUGAAGCGUUUUGGCAAGCUUCUAACCGUCCAUUAGGACAAUUUUAUAACAUCUGACCUCAAAUCAGGUAGGACUACCCGCUGAACUUAAGCAUAUCAAUAAGCGGAGGA
rnacentral:rRNA from 1 species